GGUCUGUGGAAACUAGGACUUUUAUUUUUAUGAUUUUCUGAAUGUGUAAACAAAACAUCUAAUAUUCGAGUUUGGGGGGCUCUUAUUUUGUAAUUCAACAUCAGAAUGUCCUGAAACAUUGUAGUUCACACCUUGAGAAGGUGUCCUCCCCACCUGAGGUGAAAUUGGUCUGUGGAAACUAGGACUUUUAUUUUUAUGAUUUUCUGAAUGUAUGGACAAAAAAGGUAAUAUAUGAGUUUUGGGGGGCUCUUAUUUUGGAAUUCAACAUCAGAAUGUCCUGAAACAUUGUAGUUCACACCUUGAGAAGGUGUCCUCCCCAUCUGAGGUGAAAUUGGUCUGUGGAAACUAGGACUUUUAUUUUUAUGAUUUUCUGAAUGUAUGGACAAAAAAGGUAAUAUAUGAGUUUUGGGGGGCUCUUAUUUUGGAAUUCAACAUCAGAAUGUCCUGAAACAUUGUAGUUCACACCUUGAGAAGGUGUCCUCCCCAUCUGAGGUGAAAUUGGUCUGUGGAAACUAGGACUUUUAUUUUUAUGAUUUUCUGAAUGUAUGGACAAAAAAGGUAAUAUAUGAGUUUUGGGGGGCUC